rnacentral:lncRNA from 1 species
CUGCGCUUUGCCGGGAGGACAGAAAAGAAACUGGAACCAGACAUAUCGAGACCUGGGUACCUUGCUGCUGGACCAUACAGCAGAGGCUGCGGAAAGCAUGCUGUCAGGAAUGAGCACAGCAGUGAAUCGCACGGGCUGGGGCCCCACACUGCUGGCUUGGAAGAUUCUUUGGCUCUUGAGCAACUGGUGUGGCCAUGGAUGUCUGGGGCCGGGUCCAGGCCAGACACUACGGGUCCCACGUUCGUCCUGUCCACAUGAACCCAGGGAAGGUUGAUGGGUGACUGGCACGUGCAGUGAUGGGCUCACAAAUGGCAACGUCUCUUGGAAAAUCUUCUAGCAGGAAGGAGGGGAGGAAAGAAAGUUUAAAUGGCACAAAAGCAAUUCUGCACAUUCUAGGCAAGGAGAGCAAAUAACACCCACAAGGCGCCACUCCCCUCUCAUGCGCCGGCAGACACAGCUAAUUGAUGACAGAGUUCUUUCCUCCAGCGUCUAGACUCUCCCUCCCAAAUCAUCCUCAGCCCAGCAACCCUGGCCAACACCCGGCAACCAGGUUUGCACAUGAGACAGACCCUUCUCUGCUAUCCCUGGGCCAGGUGCUGCCCCUCAGCAUCAGUGUCUGCAGAUGGUCCCCAGCCUCCAGUGGGUGUAGAGCUGGUGCCGUUCCCAUCGACAGCAGCCAUGCUGUCACUGUGCGGGUUAUCCAUGCUCUGGCCUCCCCUGGGCUGAGCGUCCCUCUGCCCUCCCAGCCAGCUGGACUCACCAGUGAGUCUGCAUAGAGCUGCUUUUCUCAAGCUCUGUGCCCGGGAAUCCUGCAGAUUCAUACUCUGCAGACUUGGAGCUAGCCUCAGAUCCUACCUCUCAAACCAGCUCCCCAGGCAAUGCCACUGUUGCUGGUUGGAGAACCACACUGGGAACAGCAAGGGUUCAGACAACACUGAAAUAAUGAAACAGGGGUGAAGAGAAUGGAAGAAGAAAAAUGCCAGACACCAUAGAAUGGAGCCAAGGCUUGCAUUUUGAUUGGAUGAG